GUCCACGCUGUAACGAUGUCUACUAGCCGUUGGAGACUUGAUUUCUUAGUGGCGCAGCUAACGCUUUAAGUAGACCGCCUGGGAGUACGGCCGCAAGGUUAAACUCAAAUGAAUUGACGGGCCCGCACAAGCGGUGGAGCAUGUGGUUUAAUUCGAUGCAACGCGAAGAACCUUACCAGGUCUUGACAUCCUCGGAACUUGGCAGAGAUGCCUUGGUGCCUUCGGGAACCGAGAGACAGGUGCUGCAUGGCUGUCGU
rnacentral:rRNA from 1 species